AUGGUACGAAACUACUGGUGGGGUGCCAAGGAAGGAAGAAGGAAGACGCACUGGAGAGCUUGGGACACCAUGAUCAAACCCAAGGAGCAGGGUGGGCUGGGCUUUCGGGAUUUCCGGCUGUUCAACCAAGCCUUGCUCGCCCGGCAAGCUUGGCGGUUAAUCUCUAACCCUGACAGUUUGUGUGCGCGGGUUUUAAAGGCCCGGUACUACCCGGAUGGUCGCCUAGAGGACACCGUCUUCUCCAGCAACGCGUCGACAACGUGGCAGUCCAUUGUCCACGGCCUGGAACUCCUCAAGAAGGGAUUAAUCUAG
rnacentral:rRNA from 1 species